AACCCCACAAGACGGCAAGCUGGAAACACCGAGGAGGAUUCUGUCAACUACGCUCCUCUGAACUUUAAGAAUAAUCUGAAGAAGAAGCAAAGAAAGGUGGAAGAAGACUCCGUGUAUGCGAAGGUGUCCAAGCCAACACGAGUUAAAAAGAAGGAACCAGAGAACCUGCAGGACUAUGAAAACAUUAGUGAUGCAGCUGCACGUGCACCAACAUCUCCAAAUCUAUUGGACGACCACACCAGUGAAGGUGAAGUGGAGCUGAACUUUCCACAGGUGAGAUUCACAGCGACGCCCCGACGUCAGACGACCAACAGAGACUCCAGCAGCUCACACCAAGAUGAGAGUCUUUACUCUAACGUCAGGAUUUGACCCGAGAUGUUCUCGUCCUGCUUUUUACAGCUACCUCGGGCCUGAGGAAGUUUAUAUUCACAAUAAGUCAUCACAUAGAGUCUGAAGAGUUCAUGUGUUCAACCGUGUUGCCAUUUGGAGUAUUUUAAAACUAGUUAGCAAGAAGGCACAGAAGUUACAUUACUGAGCUAAAAUAUAAUAUAUCAAUAUUUAAAACUGUUAAUUAAAGGUUCUGGAGAAAAUAGUGAACAAAGCUAAAUGUGAGGGAUAAACGGUUUAAAUCCUUAUUUUGAAACUUAAAAUGUAAAUAAUGUGAGUGUAAAAUGAUUGUA